CCACUUCCACAUCCGGUUAACUAGCGUUCUUCAUGCGCGCUUCGUCAAUCGGCUGCCCGGAGUCGCGCUGCCGAAACCCUGCAGCCCCACCGCGUUGUCCUGCUGAUCCUUCACCGUGUGAAGAUAAAGAAAAAUAGAGGUUUCUCCCGGCAAACGAGGGCGGUUCGGCUACUCACCGUGUCCAGUACAACUGUGGCGGCCCCGCGACACCGGAGGUGGAAGCAGAGCGUUAACCUCCCUGUGGGUGGGUCUCUGAGAGCAGCGGAGCACCGACCUGAGGUCAGUGUGAGCCGCAGACUCUCCGUCAGAGCGGCAGCAGCGUCCGGACAGAAGCUGACUUUAGAUCAGCCGAUGAAAGUCCCGCCUGCUCCGGGUCUGUUGUUCAUUCAAAAAGUGGAACUACAGCUUUACAAGUAAACUUGUGGUCUUUAAAUAAAGCAGCGUUCAAAUACACAAUAUAGUGAUAUUUAGAAUCUAUUAAAACAAAGUUAUUUGGCCAGUUUAUCAAUUAUUUAUUACAGUAAUCUUUAACCAUUCUGAUAAUCAGUAAUUUUUAAGAGGAAAAAGUUUAAACUCUCUGACUCCAGCUUCAUAAAUGUGAAAUAUUUUCUGAUUUAUUUUCUCCUCAGUGACAGUAAAUAAAACAUUGUUGUUUUGUGGACUUAACAAGACGUUUCUCAUCUUGUGCUUUGGCAAACACUUCAGCAUUUUUUUACAGUUUUCUGACAUUUUAUGGACUGAACAACUGAUCUGUUGUUAAUAAAUACUGAUAAAACAGUCAUCAAUAAAAAGAAAUUGCAAAAUCUGACUUUAUAUAUGAAGUAACAUAAAAUGACCCUUUCCAUGAAUCUACUGUAGCAAUGUGUGUAAUUUAAAUGUAAUCUGUAUGUUGUUGUUGUUUUAAAUCUUUAUCACAUUAAAGUACAUUUUACAAUCUCACAAAAGUUUGCUUCAUAUUUUGCAUGACCAAAGCAGUUUGUUGUGCUGUUUGGUGGAUUUAAAGAUAAAUAAAGCUUUUUUUUGUUUUUA